GACGAACGCUGGCGGCGUGCCUAAUACAUGCAAGUUGAGCGCUGAAGGCUGGUACUUGUACCAACUGGAUGAGCAGCGAACGGGUGAGUAACGCGUGGGGAAUCUGCCUUUGAGCGGGGGACAACAUUUGGAAACGAAUGCUAAUACCGCAUAAAAACUUUAAACAUAAGUUUUAAGUUUGAAAGAUGCAAUUGCAUCACUCAACGACGAUCCCGCGUUGUAUUAGCUAGUUGGUGAGGUAAAGGCUCACCAAGGCGAUGAUAGAUAGCCGACCUGAGAGGGUGAUCGGCCACAUUGGGACGGAGGCACGGCCCAACACCUACGGGGGGCAGCAGUAGGGAAUCUUCCGCGAGGGACGAAAGUCUGACCGAGCGACACCGCGUGAGUGAAGAAGGUUAUCGGAUCGGAAAACGCUGUUGGUAGAGAAGAACGUUGGUGAGAUUGGAAAGCUCAUCAAGUGACGGUAACUACCCAGAAAGGGACGGCUAACUACGUG
rnacentral:rRNA from 1 species